CGAUGAAGAACGCAGCGGGGGGAGCUUGCUCCCUGACGGCGAGUGGCGGACGGGUGAGUAACACGUAGGAAUCUACCUUAAUUAUAAUAGUUAGUGGGGGAUAACCCGGGGAAACUCGGGCUAAUACCGCAUAAUCUCUUCAAAGCAAAGCGGGGGAUCUUCGGACCUCGUGCUAUGAGAUGAGCCUGCGUCGGAUUAGCUAGUUGGUAGGGUAAUGGCCUACCAAGGCGACGAUCCGUAGCUGGUCUGAGAGGACGAUCAGCCACACUGGGACUGAGACACGGCC
rnacentral:rRNA from 1 species